CGCACAUUGCGCCCUCCGGUAGCCCGGGGGGCAUGCCUGUCCGAGCGUCAUUUCAGACCAUCAAGCGCAGCUUGCUGUUGGGCCUCUCUUUUCGCCUCUCGGUGUGAAACCCGGAGGCGGGCCCUAAAUGGAUCGGCGACUCAGUCGAGCCCCAAGCGUAGUAGAAUUUCUCCCCCGCUUCAGGUGGCUUCCGGCGCGAGUCUCGCCCCGAAUGACGAAAACUUACAUCAAGGUUGACCUCGGAUCAGGUAAGGAUACCCGCUGAACUUAA
rnacentral:misc_RNA from 1 species